GUGUCUCUGGCCUAGUGGUUUGAGUGCUGAACUGUGACUCUAGAGACCAGGGUUCGAUUCUCAGUGGCCACA